UACGGGGGGUGCGAGCGUUGUCCGGAAGCACUGGGCGUAAAGGGCGCGUAGGUGGUUUGAUAAGGGUGUGGUGAAAGCCCGGAGCUCAACUCCGGGUCUGCCGUGCCGACUGUCAAACUCGAGGGCUGUAGAGGCAGACGGAAUUCCGGGUGUAGCGGUGGAAUGCGUAGAGAUCCGGAGGAAGACCGGUGGCGAAGGCGGUCUGCUGGGCAGUUUCUGACACUGAGGCGCGACAGCGUGGGGAGCAAACAGG
rnacentral:rRNA from 1 species